GGUCUGGAAAGUCCGACGAUACAGGGUGACAGUCCCGUAGUUGACGACGUGUGUUCAGUGAAAUCGAGUAGGGCGGGACACGUGAUAUCCUGUCUGAAUAUGGGGGGACCAUCCUCCAAGGCUAAAUACUACUGACUGACCGAUAGUGAACCAGUACCGUGAGGGAAAGGCGAAAAGAACCCCUGUGAGGGGAGUGAAAUAGAACCUGAAACCGUGUACGUACAAGCAGUAGGAGCAGGCUUGUCCUGUGACUGCGUACCUUUUGUAUAAUGGGUCAGCGACUUAUAUUCAGUGGCAAGGUUAACCAUCUAGGGGAGCCGUAGGGAAACCGAGUCUUAACUGGGCGUUCAGUCUCCGGAUAUAGACCCGCAACCAGGUGAUCUAGCCAUGGGCAGGUUGAAG
rnacentral:rRNA from 1 species